UACGGAGGGUGCAAGCGUUAUCCGGAUUUAUUGGGUUUAAAGGGUGCGCAGGCGGGUUUGUAAGUCAGCGGUGAAAUCCCACGGCUCAACCGUGGAACUGCCAUUGAUACUGGAUACCUGGAGUGUAGACGAAGUGGGCGGAAUGUGGGGUGUAGCGGUGAAAUGCAUAGAUAUUCCACAGAACACCGAUAGCGAAGGCAGCUCACUAAACUACAACUGACGCUCAUGCACGAAAGCGUGGGGAUCAAACAGG
rnacentral:rRNA from 1 species